UCAGGAACCCAAACAGCCGACGGAAUCUCACCUGCUCUGCUCUGCUCGCCGGCUCCAGCCCAUGCCUUCGCUCUUCGCUGCCCCGAGCCCUCCGCGUCCCGCCGUCACCCGCCCGCGCCGCGAUGCCGGCGUGGGCCCAAGCGGCGCUCGUGCUCGCCUCGCCAUCCCCCGCAACCGUCUCCUCGACCACGUCGACAUUUGGCGUCAGGCCGCUCGUCGCCGUGGAAUCAAGCAGGUUCUUCUGCAAGAUCAAAAACUUACUUAAGCAAAUACUGACGUCGGAUCAGCCCCUCACUGCUCUUAUAUUCAAUCCAUGUCACGAAUCCACAAGGAAAGAUGAGUCUAUCGUCACUAUGAAUGCCUAUGUUAGUCCCGAGACCGAUUCAAAUCCAGAUCCUAAUCUCAUUAAAGUGAAGCUUUUCGUGGCAAACGCAAAUCAAUCUGUAGUACAUGCCGAGGUGGGUGAAGAAUUUUGCAAUCUCCUGUUCAGUUUCCUGACCUUACCUCUUGGGCACGUGGUGAAGCUCCUUGGCGUGCGCUCGUCAAUCUCGUGCAUUGAUAACCUCUAUAGGAGUUUGAAGUUCAACCUGGAUGAUUGCAUGAAUUCAGAUGAAAUUAGAGACAUGGUCGUCUCCCCCAGGCUGCCUCCCUUCUUCAGUUGUACCAACCCCUUGUUUCCCAAGUGAUGAGAAGCCCCCAACUGUAUCUUCUGUCGCUUGCUGCCCUCCUUGCAUCAGAAACCGUUGUCUGGUGCAUGCAGAAAUGAAAUGCGACCAUGGCACGACGAAGCUCUUGGCUGUGAAUCCCAAGGUGCCAACCGUGACAACAGAGAUCGGUGGUGGCUAUGCAAAGGGACCAGGCAAGUUCUUGGUGACUGAUGGACUUGGCAUUGCUCCAUUCUCGCUAAUCAACGUCUUGAACGAACUGAAGGCCAAGGAACUCUCUGUGUCAAACCUUGUGACAACAGAGGUCACAUUCACACAAGUGAAGGCACUCGACCUGUUGAGGGCUGCAUUGGUCUCUCGCAAUGCGCUGACCCUCGCCUGCCUGCCGACCAAACCAAAGAGACGGCCUAAUCAUCGCUAGUAGUUCCAAAGACGGGCAGGGAGAGUUCUUCUUAAUGGCAAUUUCAGUUCAUUGCAGUCUUUUGCACGUUUCCGGAAAGUAUAUGCAUUCAUUUGUGGCGAAUUUGAACUUGUUCCAGGAAGGCAAUUGAAGUUUGAGUCUGGGCUGAGUUUUUUUUGUUUGUUACCUUGUGUUUGUCUUCAUAGGUCUAAUGUCUUUAUAUUUAUAUAAAGUGCUCAGCCCUU